GGACUGCAGUAGGCUCAGUCAUGGUUCAGCAAAUAGCACCAACAACCUAAAAGAGCUGGUGGAAUACCAACUUCAUGUACACUUGGCUUAUUCAGCACCCAUAAAAUUCAAUGGACCACCAUCCGGACAAAAGGAUAAAAACAGAACACAUCAAGAUAAUGAAUUUUCUUCAAACUACUGAGGUACAAUGAAAAAUGGAAAUAUUAUCUCAGAAAUUACAACAGAGGGAUGAAGAUAUAGCAUAUGCUGUACCUAAAAGAUACAUCAAAUGGGACAUUGGGAAUAUGGAUUGAUGAAAUUUAAUUUGCGAUUGUCCUAUAAUGCCUUUUCAUUACAGUACCACACAAAUUGAGGCAAUAAAUGUAUAUUUGAUCAAAAAA
rnacentral:lncRNA from 1 species